rnacentral:rRNA from 1 species
GCUUAAAACUCAAAGGACUUGGCGGUGCUUUAUAUCCCUCUAGAGGAGCCUGUUCUAUAAUCGAUAAACCCCGAUAAACCUCACCAUCUCUUGCUAAUUCAGCCUAUAUACCGCCAUCUUCAGCAAACCCUAAAAAGGAAGAAAAGUAAGCACAAGUAUCUUGACACAAAAAAGUUAGGUCAAGGUGUA